UACAGAGGGUGCGAGCGUUAAUCGGAUUCACUGGGCGUAAAGGGUGCGUAGGUGGUUGGGUAAGUCUGAUGUGAAAUCUCCGGGCUCAACCCGGAAAUGGCAUUGGAUACUAUCUAGCUCGAGGAUCGGAGGGGGGACUGGAAUUCUUGGUGUAGCAGUGAAAUGCGUAGAUAUCAAGAGGAACACCAGUGGCGAAGGCGAGUCCCUGGACGAUUCCUGACACUGAGGCACGAAAGCUAGGGGAGCAAACAGG
rnacentral:rRNA from 1 species